UACGUAGGUGGCGAGCGUUGUCCGGAUUUACUGGGCGUAAAGAGCGCGCAGGCGGCUGGUCAAGUCCGAUGUGAAAGCUCCCGGCUUAACUGGGAAAUUGCAUCGGAAACUGAUCGGCUGGAAGGUGGGAGAGGGUAGCGGAAUUCCCGGUGUAGUGGUGAAAUGCGUAGAUAUCGGGAGGAACACCAGUGGCGAAGGCAGCUUGCUGGGACGGUACUGACGCUGAGACGCGAAAGCGUGGGGAGCAAACAGG
rnacentral:rRNA from 1 species